rnacentral:rRNA from 2 species
GAUACAGGGUGACAGCCCCGUACACAAAAAUGCACAUAUUGUGAGCUCGAUGAGUAGGGCGGGACACGUGGUAUCCUGUCUGAAUAUGGGGGGACCAUCCUCCAAGGCUAAAUACUCCUGACUGACCGAUAGUGAACCAGUACCGUGAGGGAAAGGCGAAAAGAACCCCGGCGAGGGGAGUGAAAAAGAACCUGAAACCGUGUACGUACAAGCAGUGGGAGCCUCUUAAUGGGGUGACUGCGUACCUUUUGUAUAAUGGGUCAGCGACUUAUAUUCUGUAGCAAGGUUAACCGAAUAGGGGAGCCGAAGGGAAACCGAGUCUUAACUGGGCGUUAAGUUGCAGGGUAUAGACCCGAAACCCGGUGAUCUAGCCAUGGGCAGGUUGAAGGUUGGGUAACACUAACUGGAGGACCGAACCGACUAAUGUUGAAAAAUUAGCGGAUGACUUGUGGCUGGGGGUGAAAGGCCAAUCAAACCGGGAGAUAGCUGGUUCUCCCCGAAAGCUAUUUAGGUAGCGCCUCGUGAAUUCAUCUCCGGGGGUAGAGCACUGUUUCGGCAAGGGGGUCAUCCCGACUUACCAACCCGAUGCAAACUGCGAAUACCGGAGAAUGUUAUCACGGGAGACACACGGCGGGUGCUAACGUCCGUCGUGAAGAGGGAAACAACCCAGACCGCCAGCUAAGGUCCCAAAGUCAUGGUUAAGUGGGAAACGAUGUGGGAAGGCCCAGACAGCCAGGAUGUUGGCUUAGAAGCAGCCAUCAUUUAAAGAAAGCGUAAUAGCUCACUGGUCGAGUCGGCCUGCGCGGAAGAUGUAACGGGGCUAAACCAUGCACCGAAGCUGCGGCAGCGACACUAUGUGUUGUUGGGUAGGGGAGCGUUCUGUAAGCCUGUGAAGGUGGCCUGUGAGGGUUGCUGGAGGUAUCAGAAGUGCGAAUGCUGACAUAAGUAACGAUAAAGCGGGUGAAAAGCCCGCUCGCCGGAAGACCAAGGGUUCCUGUCCAACGUUAAUCGGGGCAGGGUGAGUCGACCCCUAAGGCGAGGCCGAAAGGCGUAGUCGAUGGGAAACAGGUUAAUAUUCCUGUACUUGGUGUUACUGCGAAGGGGGGACGGAGAAGGCUAUGUUGGCCGGGCGACGGUUGUCCCGGUUUAAGCGUGUAGGCUGGUUUUCCAGGCAAAUCCGGAAAACCAAGGCUGAGGCGUGAUGACGAGGCACUACGGUGCUGAAGCGACAAAUGCCCUGCUUCCAGGAAAAGCCUCUAAGCAUCAGGUAACAUCAAAUCGUACCCCAAACCGACACAGGUGGUCAGGUAGAGAAUACCAAGGCGCUUGAGAGAACUCGGGUGAAGGAACUAGGCAAAAUGGUGCCGUAACUUCGGGAGAAGGCACGCUGAUAUGUAGGUGAAGCGACUUGCUCGUGGAGCUGAAAUCAGUCGAAGAUACCAGCUGGCUGCAACUGUUUAUUAAAAACACAGCACUGUGCAAACACGAAAGUGGACGUAUACGGUGUGACGCCUGCCCGGUGCCGGAAGGUUAAUUGAUGGGGUUAGCGGCAACGCGAAGCUCUUGAUCGAAGCCCCGGUAAACGGCGGCCGUAACUAUAACGGUCCUAAGGUAGCGAAAUUCCUUGUCGGGUAAGUUCCGACCUGCACGAAUGGCGUAAUGAUGGCCAGGCUGUCUCCACCCGAGACUCAGUGAAAUUGAACUCGCUGUGAAGAUGCAGUGUACCCGCGGCAAGACGGAAAGACCCCGUGAACCUUUACUAUAGCUUGACACUGAACAUUGAGCCUUGAUGUGUAGGAUAGGUGGGAGGCUUUGAAGUGUGGACGCCAGUCUGCAUGGAGCCGACCUUGAAAUACCACCCUUUAAUGUUUGAUGUUCUAACGUUGGCCCGUAAUCCGGGUUGCGGACAGUGUCUGGUGGGUAGUUUGACUGGGGCGGUCUCCUCCUAAAGAGUAACGGAGGAGCACGAAGGUUGGCUAAUCCUGGUCGGACAUCAGGAGGUUAGUGCAAUGGCAUAAGCCAGCUUGACUGCGAGCGUGACGGCGCGAGCAGGUGCGAAAGCAGGUCAUAGUGAUCCGGUGGUUCUGAAUGGAAGGGCCAUCGCUCAACGGAUAAAAGGUACUCCGGGGAUAACAGGCUGAUACCGCCCAAGAGUUCAUAUCGACGGCGGUGUUUGGCACCUCGAUGUCGGCUCAUCACAUCCUGGGGCUGAAGUAGGUCCCAAGGGUAUGGCUGUUCGCCAUUUAAAGUGGUACGCGAGCUGGGUUUAGAACGUCGUGAGACAGUUCGGUCCCUAUCUGCCGUGGGCGCUGGAGAACUGAGGGGGGCUGCUCCUAGUACGAGAGGACCGGAGUGGACGCAUCACUGGUGUUCGGGUUGUCAUGCCAAUGGCACUGCCCGGUAGCUAAAUGCGGAAGAGAUAAGUGCUGAAAGCAUCUAAGCACGAAACUUGCCCCGAGAUGAGUUCUCCCUGAGACUUAGAGUCUCCUGAAGGAACGUUGAAGACGACGACGUUGAUAGGCCGGGUGUGUAAGCGCAGCGAUGCGUUGAGCUAACCGGUACUAAUGAACCGUGAGGCUUAACCUU